rnacentral:lncRNA from 11 species
CCAUCUAGUCCAACCCCUCCUGCCCUCGUGCUGGAAAUGCACAAUGAAAACCCUCUCAACAGAUGGCCAUCCAGCCUCAAUAAUCAAAUUGAUUGACAAUUGAACCUGAUGGUAUACAUUUCUGGCUUGGCCUCAUAGCACCCAAGGCUGAGUCUCUCCUUCUUCCUUUGCAGACUGCACGACCAUCAUCCACAGAAGCGGCAAGAGCCUCUCCCCUGAAGGCAGCAUCACCAGCAGCAGCAGCAGGCUCAAGCAAAAGGAUUUGCAGCUCUGCCCUCCUAAUUCUUUGCAAGGUACGGAAGGUUUCCAUUACUACGAACUCUGCCUUGUUUCCUCGCUGUCUUUGUCUUCAAACCUGGGAAGAGUCGAGAAUAUUCCCUUCUUAUUUUUAGCCGGCUUUGCAAGCCUCGCGGGGAGGAAAUGGGAGAAAUCAGAGGCGAGGGGGAAGGAUCGAUAGGUUGGCUUCGCACCAAUUGCUUGCUAUGAAAAUAAGGGGGAGAGAAAAAGAUAUUUCCAGAAGGCCGUGCGGUUUGUGAAAGCGCGACAAGGAGGGAUUCGAAUAAUAGAAGGGACCUCUUAAGGCCAUCUAGUCCAACCCUCUUCUGCCUUCGGGCAGGAAACGCACCAGAAAUAGUGUCUGGAUCAACAGAUGUCAUAGUGUCAUAAUAAUAAUAAUAAUAAUAAUAAUAAUAAUAAUAAUAAUAAUAAUAAUAAUAAUAAUAAUAAUAAUGACAUUGACAAAAUUACAGUCUGCCAACUGCAAAAGGCCACCCUACUGGGAUCGGCACACAUCAUCCGAAAAUACAUCACACAGUCCUAGACACUUGGGAAGAGUUCGACUUGUGAUUUUGUGAUACGAAAUCCAGCAUAUCUGUCUUGUUUGCUGUGUCAUAAUAAAAUAAUAAUAAUAAUAAUAUUAAUAAUGACAUUGACAAAAUUACAAUCUGCCAACUGCAAAAGGCCACCGUAC